GCCAUUGUGGUGUAGUGGUUUGAGUGUUGGACUAGGACGCUAGAGGCCAGGGUUCAAAUCCCGGCUCAGCCA